GGCUGGAGAGAUGGCUCAGUGGUUAAGAGCACUGACUGCUUUUCAAAGGUCCUGAGUUCAAAUCCCAUCAGCCA
rnacentral:tRNA from 1 species